UACGUAGGGUGCAAGCGUUUGUCCGGAAUUAUUGGGCGUAAAGAGCUCGUAGGCGGUCUGUCGCGUCGGCUGUGAAAUCCCGAGCUCAACCUCGGGUCUGCAGUCGAUACGGGCAAACUAGAGUAUUGCAGGGGAGACUGGAAUUCCUGGUGUAGCGGUGAAAUGCGCAGAUAUCAGGAGGAACACCGGUGGCGAAGGCGGGUCUCUGGGCAAUAACUGACGCUGAGGAGCGAAAGCGUGGAGAGCGAACAGG
rnacentral:rRNA from 1 species